rnacentral:rRNA from 1 species
CUAACUCGAUAAUCCACGCACACUCAACCUUCUUUGGACUACAGCAUGUGUACUGCCGUUGUAAGCAUACCUUUAAAAGAUAGUAUGCCACUAUGACUACAACUCAUAUACAUCAGGUCAAAGUGCAGCUAAUAAGAAGGUGAUGAUGGGUUACAACCCCAAAACAGACUAUCAACUAAGAAAUCAAAAAUCUUACGAAAGUGGACUUGGCCGUAAUCAAUUUUAACUUAAAAAAAUGAAUGAUAUCUAAGACAUGUACACAUCGCCCGUCACUCUAUCCUAAAGGUUAGAUAAGUCGUAACAAAGUAGGUGUAAUGGAAAUUGCACCUGUCGAAGUAUAGCAUAUAUAAUGCUUUUUACUUACACUAAAAAUAAAGUUACCUACUUACUUCGCCCAAAACAAAGAUCUUUUAAUUUAUUUAACAUUUAAACAAUUAAAUUAAUAACUAUACAGUACAGAAAUGGAAGUGAUAAUAAAUAAAAGUAAAUUUUAAUAAAUAUACCUCGUGCAUUAUGGUUUUACAAGAAAAAAAUUAAAAUAUAAAUCCCGAAUUCUAAAUGAGAUGUUAAACUACUGUCAGGAACCCAUUAAUAGCUGUGAAAAAAGCUUUAAAAGAUAAUUUAACAGAGGCUACAUACCAUCCGCAUAAGAAUAUAGCUGGUUUUCAACAAACAUUAUACAUUAAAGCAUAUAAUAAUAUUAUAAUGUAAUAUUAUUGAGGAUAAGCCCAAUAAUUAAAGCAAUAAUAAUAUAUUCUAGUAUAUACUAUAGGCCUAAAAUCAGCCAACAAAAGUACUUUACCGUAAAAUACUACGAUAAAAUAUAUAUCUCUGCAAAUGCUAAAUAAAGUUGAAAUGGCGGAACGACUGCCCACACCGCAUAUAUAAUGUAAAAAUAAGUAUUAUAAAUAAAUACCUGCAAUGACCAAGAACAACCACCACAUAAAAAAUAAUAAUUAAUUAAGGAACUCGGCAAAAUAUUAUUUCGACUGUUUAACAAAAACAUUGUCUUAUGAGUACCAUAUAAGAUAGCACCUGC